rnacentral:rRNA from 1 species
CCUGGUACGAUUCGCCUUGAGUUGAUCAUGGCUCAGAAUCACGCUGGCGGCGUGCCUCAGACAUGCAAGUCGAACGCGAAAGUUUCCUUCGGGAAGCGAGUAGAGUGGCGCACGGGUGAGUAACACGUAGGUAAUCUACCUUUGGAUGGGGAAUAACAACCGGAAACGGUUGCUAAUACCGCAUAAUGCAGCGGCACCUAAUGGUGACAGUUGUUAAAGCGGGGGAUCGAAAGACCUCGCGUCUAAAGAGGAGCCUGCGGCGGAUUAGCUAGUUGGUAAGGUAAUGGCUUACCAAGGCGAUGAUCCGUAGCCGGCCUGAGAGGGCGGUCGGCCACACUGACACUGACAUACGGGUCAGACUCCUACGGGAGGCAGCAGUCGGGAAUUUUGGGCAAUGGGCGAAAGCCUGACCCAGCAACGCCGCGUGAAGGAUGAAAUCCCUCGGGAUGUAAACUUCGCAAGAACAGGAAGAAUAAGUAGGGGACAAUACCCCCUAUGAUGACGGUACUGUUUGUAAGCUCCGGCUAACUCCGUGCCAGCAGCCGCGGUAAUACGGGGGGAGCAAGCGUUGUUCGGAUUUACUGGGCGUAAAGGGCGCGUAGGCGGCCACCGCAAGUCGGUUGUGAAGUCUCCGGGCUUAACCCGGAAAGGUCAAUCGAUACUGCGGGGCUAGAGUGCAGAAGGGGCAACUGGAAUUCUCGGUGUAGCGGUGAAAUGCGUAGAUAUCGAGAGGAACACC